AUGGUUCUAGAAAAACAUUGGAAAGAUUUGUUAGGCCUAACUCAAGUCAUGACUAAAAUUAAUCUUCAAAAUUUUAACCGAACUACAAUUGUCUACCCAUUCAAUAUCAAUCCUCCAACUCAAGUCAUGACUAAUAAUAAAAAUUGAAUAAAAAUGUCAAGGGUGAGGUAUAUUAAAGAUUUGAUUUUUCUAAUAAUAAAUUGUAAUGGGAAUGGAUGGUAAGAGAGAAAAUGUCCCUAGCUAGUCCUUAUGGAUGGUCGUUUGCUCUCUCUCUCUCUCUCUCUAUAUAUAUAUAUAUAUAUAUAUAUAUAUAUAUAUAUAUAUAUAUAUAUAUAUAUAUACACAAAAGCUUCAAUCCUUCUGUUAUAGGGUUUUUGAUUAACUUGUUGAAUCCAUAUUUAUAAAGCGAAUAUUCUGUUUUUUUCUUCCUCCAAAAAUCUAGUUAGGGUUUAUCCGAUACACAACUCAUAAAUCAAAAUUGAAUAAAAAUGUCAAGGGUGAGGCAUAUUAAAGAUUUGAUUUUUCUAAUAAUUACAUGUAAUGGGAACGAAUGGUAAGAGAGAAAAUGUUCUUAGCUAGUC
rnacentral:lncRNA from 1 species